rnacentral:tRNA from 1 species
GCCCUGGUGGCCCAAAGGAUAAGUGCUUGGCUGCUAAUCAAAAUGUCGGUGGUUCUAGUCCAUCCAGAGGCU